GCUCUUUGAAGUUGGAAAUGGGAGGCUCUGCAGCUGAUUGCGUGGCUUUCAUGCGACUUUGGUGGACGAAAUGGCCAGCAAGGGAGCUGUCGUGACUCGCUCAUCGGCAUCGCAUCGUCGAGAGCUCAGCGUUGAGUCUUUCAAGUGCUAUAAGAUUUAUGCUCCAACCAGAGGUUAAUUUGCGUGCCAUGGAAUCAAGAGAGCAAAUAGACAAUGAAGAUGGUGUUGCGGCUGCAGUGGAUGCAUUCCAUAGGCAUUUGCCACCACAGCUACCGAUCCCUCCUCCUCCUGUCAUUUUUUUGUCUGUG